CAAUGAAGGAGCCGAGGAGCAACUAGAAUGAAAGCUGACUGUGCUCUUUUGGACUUGUCCUGUGGCAAGUUACACUGUUUAUUUUCAAAGGGUGCUGGCCUGACAUCUGGUGGCUGAGACAGCCGUAGCAACACUCAGAAAGCUUCAAGAGUAGAAGCUACUUGGAAUUUUGGCAGAUGUGAGAGAGCAGCUUGCAGGGUCAAGGCCUAAAACAGAGCACCUGAAACCCUCUGUAUCUAAGGGACAGCCAAAGUGUGAGAAGGGAAAUGAUUUAUAAGUUACACAGCAGGUCAGUCCCUGAAUGUGUAUUUCUGAGGGGCGCCCCGCUGUUCCCCGC